UGAUUUGGAACCAAGUUAUUAGUGGGUUAAGGUGCCAACCAAAGCUAGAGUUAUUUGCUAAUUAGAUUGUUUGUAUUCAAGCCUACGAUUUCUGAAAUAUAUUUAUGCACUACAAACUUUUUUUUGAUAGGCAAAUUGGGAGUUUUAUUAAAAGCAUCUAUGAAAAGGGCACACCAAAGUAUGUGUUUAUGCACUACAAACUGUGUAUCAGUCAACUGCUUUUGAACUACUUACUAUAUUUAUGACCCUUAUGGCCUUGUUAAUUACUCAUAGGGUUGUUUGGUUCACCCUUGUUUUUUUUCCCCAGACCAUAAGCUUUUGGAGGACAAGGUUGGAGUAGAGCCCAGGAAGCUGGCUAUCCUUGGAAAUAGUUUAUAGAUUGAUGCCAAAUUGUGUUAGUUUUUAUUAAUUCCUAUAUUGUUAAUUCCUAUAGGAUAAACUGCAGUAUUGUACUUCUUUUAAGACCUGGGUUAGUUUGUUAUUUUGAUGAUAAUGUUAUAUUUUUCUUUCUGCCACACAAGAAUUUGAUUUCUACUUUCAGGUUACAUGUUGGGUAGGAUUGGUGAUUUAGUGCUACAUACUUCUUUCGAGCUGGGUUGGAGUUGGUUCUGGUCAUUAUGUUCAUAAUAAAAAGAGGAUAUUACAAAAAACAAGUUUGAAGUCAUGAAUGCUCAACAGUGAAGGGAAGUAGCAAGCAAGGUAAUGUCAUAUGAUGCUUUCUUAUCAUCAAUCUCAACCACAUGAUCAAUAGGAUACCAUAUUCUUCUAAAGUUCUCCCCCAUAAUCUGAAACUUUAAAAAGAAAUGUCAUGUUAUCAUCAAUCUCAACCACAUAAUCACAAAAUAGGAUACCAUAUACUUCUAAAGUUCACCCCCAU
rnacentral:lncRNA from 1 species